ensembl:snRNA U1 U1 spliceosomal RNA
AUACUUACUGCACCUGGCAGACACCUUGAUCACGAAGGAGGUUCACCUAGGACGAGUCUCGGCCAUUGCACUCUGGCCAUGCUGACCCCUGCGAAUUCCCCAAAUGUGGGAAUCUCGACUGCAUCAUUUGUGGUAGUGGGGGACUGCGUCCACGCUCUCCCAUG